AGUCGAGCGGAAAGGCCCCUUCGGGGGUACUCGAGCGGCGAACGGGUGAGUAACACGUGAGCAACCUGCCCCUGACUCUGGGAUAAGCCCGGGAAACUGGGUCUAAUACCGGAUGUGACCAGCCUCCGCAUGGAGUGCUGGUGGAAAGUUUUUCGGUUGGGGAUGGGCUCGCGGCCUAUCAGCUUGUUGGUGGGGUGAUGGCCUACCAAGGCGACGACGGGUAACCGGCCUGAGAGGGCGACCGGUCACACUGGGACUGAGACACGGCCCAGACUCCUACGGGAGGCAGCAGUGGGGAAUAUUGCGCAAUGGGCGGAAGCCUGACGCAGCGACGCCGCGUGAGGGAUGACGGCCUUCGGGUUGUAAACCUCUUUCAGCAGGGACGAAGCUAACGUGACGGUACCUGCAGAAGAAGCGCCGGCUAACUACGUGCCAGCAGCCGCGGUAAUACGUAGGGCGCAAGCGUUGUCCGGAAUUAUUGGGCGUAAAGAGCUCGUAGGCGGUUUGUCGCGUCUGUCGUGAAAGCCCACGGCUUAACCGUGGGUCUGCGGUGGAUACGGGCAGACUAGAGGCAGGUAGGGGAGAAUGGAUUUCCCGGUGUAGCGGUGAAAUGCGCAGAUAUCGGGAGGAACACCGGUGGCGAAGGCGGUUCUCUGGGCCUGUACUGACGCUGAGGAGCGAAAGCGUGGGGAGCGAACAGGAUUAGAUACCCUGGGUAGUCCACGCCGUAAACGUUGGGCGCUAGGUGUGGGGUCCUUCCACGGAUUCCGCGCCGCAGCUAACGCAUUAAGCGCCCCGCCUGGUGAGUACGGCCGCAAGGCUAAAACCUCAAGGAAUUGACGGGGGCCGCACAGCCGCGGAGCAUGUUGC
rnacentral:rRNA from 1 species